UAAUAUUUUCUCCUUUGUCUGGUUUUGAGGCUUCGGAUGAAAUUAAAAUUCAAAUCAGUGUGAGCGCAAGAUCAAGCAAUUAAGAUUGAAACAGAAAUAGUUUAAAAUAAACUACAUAGGAAAUUUCAAGUUUCUGCCUUUCUGGCCCAUUACAUAUACAUAAUUUUCAGGAGUAAUGAUAAAGAUAACUGAACUCAUUCAUCGUAACACAUCUAAUUCAAUAAUUAAAAAUUAAGAUUAUAUAUCAAAGUUUUAGAUCAAACACCAAACACUGACAGUGUUUUAUUUUCCAAACACUUAAAACAUUUAACAUAGAAUUAGAAAGCAAGACAUGACAAUGCUGUCAAAUAGCAACGCCAGCUGCUUCCAGCAGCUGUUUCACCUUAGUGAUGUAAUCACUCAUUGCUUCCUCCUUGGAUUUCGCUGCAGAAAAAAAUAAUAGUUUUAAUAUCUCUGAGAACACAAAUUAUAUUCAGAUUGAACCGGCGUCUAUGUCGGUUCUUCAUAAAUUAUAAUAGGUGUGUACGUGUUUGUGGUAAUA
rnacentral:lncRNA from 1 species